GAAACUUAACAUAUAAUAAAAAAAGAAAAAAAAUUGUAGGUUAGAGUACAUUUAAAGGGAAAAAAGAGGCAUGCAUAAAUCUUUACUUCUGCUUGUAAAACCAUUGUUAAAUGUUGUUUACGAUGAUAAGAAGUUAAAAUUGGUAGUAGUAUGGUCCUAUUUUUUGCUUGCUGAGAAAAUGGGAUACACCAAUAAUUAGAGUAAAAUAUACAGUACGGGAGCCACUUUAUUAUGUUUCUUGUACAACUGCCGAAUUACUCUACCUUUAUAUGUAUUAUGUCAUUGUUCUAUGAGCUAGAAAAGAAUGUAUAGGCACAUGUUUGUUUGGAUGUUCUUUUAUAUGAAGCAUCAGAUAGAAUUUUCUCCGUUGGCACACAAUCAUACAUUUAAGAUAAUUAGGAAAAUGGACAGAGGAAUAGAAUUCUGCCUUCUAAUGUGAGCAAUUUCAGACAAAAAAUGUCCUGUCUGUUGUUUGUGUUUUUUUAAAUUAGAGAUAGAGUCAUGUGUUAAUGUGGAUUAUCUGAAAUAAAGUCAGUUCACUAUAAAAUGUUCAGGUUGAGACUAUAUAUUCUUAGAAUAUAGUCACAUAUGCCAAAAAAUUAAUGAAAGCUGCAGCAUAAUUUUUCUACCUUGUGGAACUAUCAGAUAAAGUAAUGUCUGAUGAUAAAUUGGUUUUAUGGUGAGUCACUAGAUUCAAUCUAUGGUAGUAAAUCUUCUAAACUAACUUCACAUUGCCUGCAAGCCAGAGUCAAUGUAGUGUUCACCAAAUGUCCCUUCAAUCAAAUGAAAUUUGACAUACUAGUAUCCCCCUAUGAAUUUAUCUCUUAUAUGAGGUCACAAAGAGCUUGCAAUAAUACUGAAAAAAGAAAUAUUCUGAAUAAAGUAAUUGAAAUUCCCUUUCAAAUAUACUUCAUUACUUCAGUAGAUAUCUAUUUAUACCUUACAGUUACAUUACUUGAUGCCUCACAGAAUUUCUUUCCUUUGUGUGGAACACAGAUAUUCUUAUAUCAAAUAAGAUUUAUUACUAAAAGCCUUUCCUAUGAGGUCUGCUUCCCUUUCCCUGAGGAAUUGUCCUCAGUAUUAGAGUCCAUUAGCUGCUAACUACAAUGCAAUUUCAUAAAGCACCUGGCUUCAGAAGAUGUUAAUUUAAAAAAAAUGCUAAGAAUUUAGGACUACACAGAGCUAUUUACCUCAAAUACACAAAAAAUGUUUUUGCAAUCUCUUAUGAGAUAUCCUAGAAUUCAUUUUUUUUUAAAUUUCAAUAUGCUUGUUGGUAUCUCCUAUAAGUUGCUUUACUCUAUUUAUAUUAAUAGGCCACACUAAGUGGUGAUUGUGGCAUUCUUUAAACCAGAUGCCCAACAUUCAUAUUCUUGCCAAGUUAGAUUAUAUAAAUUGAAGUCAAGGGUCAAUAAUUAUCCAGUGACUAUUUAACUCAACAUGCUUAUAUUUCUGUUGUAGCUGCCAGAAUACUCAGAAGCCAAAUAAAAACCAAUAAAUGCCAUCAGUUCAUGUUAGGUACCUGUAUCACCUACUCUGUCCCCUUACUUUGAUUACCUCUGUUUUGUUUUAUUCUGAAGUAUUUUAUUCUAUGAGUUUUAAUGUAUAUGUAAUUUAGUUGCUUUCAAAAUAGAAAAUGUCUGAAUUAUAAGUAAUAAAAGGUAUCUAAUGACUCACAGAGAAGAAUGUGCCUCCAUAGUGACAAGUAGAUAAAAAAUAUUUACAUAAGUAAAUACUAAAAAUACACAGGCAAAAUUAUUCAACUCUUCCAAUUCCAUAUUAAUGGGGUAAUUAAUUUUUGUUAACUUUCUUUACUGACAUUGUAGAACACAUGAUGUUAUUCUAUUUUAGCUCCAGCAAUCAAGGAUCUACAGAAUAAAUAUGAAUAUUCUAUGUUCAUUCUAUAGAUCCUUGAUUGCUGGAGCUAGUCAAGGGGAUCUAUAGAAUGAAUAUUCCACUAAAGACAAGAUUCACGCCUACUAUGGCAAUUAUAUGAAAUAUAAAGAAAGAUUAAUGACAAGUUUGUUCAGGAAGGUAAUGAAAGUGAAAUGUUAUUUGGAAACUUAUGAUCCCAUGAGAUAUAACAAAGACAAAAAAAAAAAAGAUCUAAAGGAAAUUUCCAAUUUAAAUACAGUAAAGUGUAAUAAAAUUGUAUCAUGAUUUUGGAGGCGUAAUGUUCAGAUAAUCUUUUAACUAUCUUUUUCUAAUUUUUAAAUUUUUUUUCAUAUAUUACAUGUCAACAACUAGAAAGCCACUUUUCUCACAGAAAAAUAGACUAGGAGAAACUGUACAUGUAUACAGAAGAACAAGACAAAAAACAGAAAAUACAAAUGUUAUUAAGCAAAGGGCACCUGCUACUGGCCUGAAAGAGCAGGAUGAAGAGGUCAGUUGAGAAGUUCAGGAAAAAGCAAAGGUAUUGAGGAUUUCAACCAUUAUGGAUCAAUAAGGUGCUUUGACAAGAAGGAAUUUCUUGCAGACAAAAAAUAAAAAACAAAAAGGAAAAGUAAGCAUAAAAUUACCAGAAAACAAAAAAUCUUGCAGUUGCAAGAGGAACUAAUUAUAGAAAAGUGGCAUGAGCUAAGACUGUAAAGAUCAAAUUAUAGCCAGAUCACAGAAGUUCUUGUCAAUUUUGAAGAAGUUAGAACUACUUUAAGUUGCAAUUGUUGACUUCAAAGCACUUGAGCAGAAGAACAAUACUGGUGGAGUUCAUUUUUAGACAGGUAUAGAGAGAAGCUAGAAACUGGGAAACUAAUGAGGACUUGUGCGCAAUAGGAGCACUGAAGUAAACGGAGGUCUACACUAUUGCUAUGGCAACAGACAUGAAAAGAAAGAAAUACAUUUGAAAAAUAUAUAGAAGAUCUAUACAUAUAGGAUUUAGUAACCAAAUAGAAAUUGUGUAGAAGAGAAUAAAGUAUAAUUAGAAUUUGGAUUGCAUGACUGGUAGACCAAUGAAACCAUUAUGAUAGAAUGAGUCAGGGACAAGGCUGGCUUGAGAACAGUGGCUGAGCAGAUGGAACACUUAAUUUGGGAAGUACUAACAAGAAAGUAAAACAAAAACAACAUGCCUAUAAAUGAGCAUAGGUACCAGAAGCACAGGCAUAAUGAGGUCAAGACACGAUGAGAAGCCUGAAGAAGUGAAAGCCAGUGAGGUCUACUUUUAAGAAGUUUAGUGCUAAAAAAAAAAACUAACAAAAAAAGAACACAGAAAAGAUAUGUUGAAUAAGUGGUAGGAGUUUGGUUCGCUUGUUGGUUUCUUACUUUCAUCUAGGAGCAGGUAAACCAAUGUGUGUGCAUUCAAAAGUAAAAAGGGCCCAGUGGAGAGAGUAAGAUCAAAGAUUCAUGAAGAUUCUUAACGCAGGAUUCAGUCUCAUUCGAGAGUGGGGACGUAUCCAAAUUCAAGCCCACAUGGUCAGCCUUUAGUAAAAGAAAACCAUUUUUCCUUCUUUAAAAUAGAAAGAGGAGAAAUGAUUUGAUGAUACAGAUAGUCUGAGAUAAAACGAAGGAAACUAGGGAGAGUCACAUUUGACAGCUUGGACUUAAUGAUGUGUUUUUAAAAAUACGUUGAGGGAAAGAAGUGCAGGGAAAAAAAUGGAGUUAUGAAGACAGUGGGAAAGGUCUGAAACUAUAGCUCUAUGGCAUAUUCAAAGGAGUUAGGAAGAGAUGAAUGUAAGAACUAUUGAAGAGUAGUGCUGCUUUGGCUGAACAUUUUAUUAAAACGAUUCUUCUGCUGUGACAACUGCAGAGCUAAAAGAUUGAAAUAGUCCUCUUUUAGUGGGACCCAAUAUACUUCCCAACAAUUCCAAGAAAAUCAAACAGUAUAGAACUACACUCUAGAUUUCAAAAAAUCAUAAAUGUGUCCUUUUCAAACU